rnacentral:rRNA from 1 species
UACGUAGGGGGCAAGCGUUGUCCGGAAUCAUUGGGCGUAAAGCGCGCGUAGGCGGCCCGGUAAGUCCGCUCUGAAAGUCCAGGGCUCAACCCUGGAAAGCGGGUGGAUACUGCCGGGCUAGAGUCCGGAAGAGGCGAGUGGAAUUCCUGGUGUAGCGGUGGAAUGCGCAGAUAUCAGGAGGAACACCAAUGGCGAAGGCAGCUUCCUGGUACGGUACUGACGCUGAGACGCGAAAGCGUGGGGAGCAAACAGG